UCCGUAGGUGAACCUGCGGAAGGAUCAUUAAAUAAUCAAUAAUCUUGGCUUGUCCAUUAUUAUCUAUUUACUGUGAACUGUAUUAUUAUUUGACGUUUGGGGGAUGUUCCAAUGUUAUAAGGAUAGACAUUGGAGAUGUUAACCGAGUCAUAAUCAGGUUUAGGCCUGGUAUCCUAUUAUUAUUUACCAAAUGAAUUCAGAAUUAAUAUUGUAACAUAGACCUAAAAAAUCUAUAAAACAACUUUUAACAACGGAUCUCUUGGUUCUGGCAUCGAUGAAGAACGCAGCGAAAUGCGAUAAGUAGUGUGAAUUGCAGAAUUCAGUGAAUCAUCGAAUCUUUGAACGCACAUUGCGCCCAUUGGUAUUCCAAUGGGCAUGCCUGUUCGAGCGUCAUUUGUACCCUCAAGCUUUGCUUGGUGUUGGGCGUUUGUCUUUCGAGACUCGCCUUAAAAAGAUUGGCAGCCGGCAUACUGGUUUCGGAGCGCAGCACAAAUUGCGGUCUGUUCCUGAAUGUUGACGUCCAUGAAGCCCCCAUUAUCACUUUUGACCUCGGAUCAGGUAGGGAUACCCGCUGAACUUAAGCAUAUCAAUAAGCGGAGGAA
rnacentral:rRNA from 1 species